rnacentral:snRNA from 11 species
AGCUUUGUGCAGUGGCAGUAUCGUAGCCAAUGAGGUUUAUCCGAGGCGCGAUUAUUGCUAAUUGAAAAAGAAAAAUCAUGUUA